ensembl:lncRNA
GGCCGGGGCCUCGGGAGAGAGCCUGGGUGAGGGCUGGGCCUGGGGCCAGUGCUGUGUGGCGUAGUCGCGAUCCACGGGUGUCCCGGCCAGUCCUCCUCUUUCCUUGCCCCCUGCCCACCCCCGCCCAGCAGUCCCUGGCCGAGAGCCCCCUGCCUGGUCCCUUUCCGCAUGCAGGAUCCACGUGCUCUCGCAGGGACUUCGUUUGUCCCCGCAGGUGUCUGGGAAGCCAGCUUCUCCUCGCGACAGACAUGGGACAGGCUUCCAGGCAGUGCCCUUUGCCGAAGGGAGAGAGGGGACAGCCUGUCUCUGCAGGCCCCAGACCCACGCAUUCGGGACUCUCGGCGGCUGGGGUGGUGGGAGUGGGGACGCCCUUCCCUGCACAGGUGUCUGUAGGAAGUGACACAGGCCGGGACACAAGUGUGCACAGGUUUCUUGGGCUGGCCAGGGCGUGCACUGUGCAGUUCCCCUCCCACCCUCUGAGCCAAGCCCCGGGCCUACAGCAGGCUCAAGGGCCUACAGCAAGCUCAAGCCUCUGUCGGAAGGAGGAGCAGUUCGAGGACCUCUGGUGUCAGACUGAAAGGUGAGGCUGACGCUACCGUGGUUCAGAGGAUGAGACCUGCAUCGCCUGCCUCUCCAGUUCUGUCUCCUGGAAACUGGAUCUCUGGUUUCAUUUAGUCUGCCUUGGCUCUUCAGAGAGGCCCCUGAACCAAAAGGAAAUGAGUUUCACCUGGAUUCUUCUCUUGGCCUAUCUCCUGCCCCAGCCAAAAAGAAGGAACCAUGAACAAGCUGUUAAUGCAUAUUUUUGGACAGCCAACAGACAUACUACUCUGAGCACAGGGGUUACGUAGAGGUGUGGGUGAGAUAGCUGCACAGGCUGUUGAUUCAGGAUCAUCUUCUCUAGUUGCAGAGGAGGAAAAUGCCUGGUCUUUCCAUUCACAAAUCUUCCCUCUCCACUGCUCCGCCACAGUAGGGCAGACCCUGUUUGAAAACUGUUGGCGGUCAGGUUGGAGGAGGAAGCAUCAGUUCCUGAACGUUACAUAGCAGUGCCUGAAGACAGAAUGAGAGGCUUCAAGGCAAACUGGGGUCAACCACUAUCGACUGGUGGGCAAUCAGGACCACCUCAUAUCCAUGCACAGAGGUGAACCUAGUUUCUCAGUCUUAGGACGUUGGGAAGAUUUUUGGCAAACUAGUGAAAAAUAGCCUUGCUGGCAGAAUAUGCUGUUGAGGUGCCCAGUCCCAUCAGAGAAACCAUGAGUGCAGGCUAGAAACAGAAAGGGGCCUGGCCCCAGCUUCCUGGAAAUACUGGACUGGCCACUCCCUUAGCUGCCCUGGGGCUGAUUGCUGGUCAGCAGUCCCCUGCUGGGGCCUCAGUGUCCUUUCUCAACAAGAAGCUGCAGCUCUUUGGGCUCCUCUCAUGCCCCAGGAUUCUGCCUGUUUCUCCUUUCCCCUCCGCCCCCAGAAUUGGACUGGGUAAUCCCAUGGCCAUCUGCUGUGUGUGCCUCAGUUUCCCAUUUGUGAAGCACCCUUCCAAGGGCUAGGGCUUACAGAGGCUGUGCAGUGAGAGCUGCUUCAUCACUUCUGGCCUCCUGGGACGGGGCCUAAUACACCUUCGGGAAUCACAAUGCUCUCCUUGCUCAUGUUCUGCCCUCUAUCCCUGCUCUUGUGUGACCCUGAGAAGGUCAAAGUCAGUGCCCUAGACCAUCCCUUGGGGCAUGGUGUCAGGAUCAGGAAUAACAUGGCCAGAAGGCUGGCAUGUGGCCUGGACUCUGCCACAUAGGUGAGUGUUCUUUUUGUUGGAAAUGGCCUCAUUAGCAUCCCAGCUCAGGCUGAUUCCAAGCUGACACCCAGGCUGCACCUGGCAUAUAGUAGGCACUCAGUAAACCCUGACUUCAUGAAUGACUCGUACGGAUGAACUCCCAGCUCCUAGGCCAGGCCAUUUCCAAGCAGAACUGCCGGGUUCAGACCCCAUGUUCACAGCCCCCCUCCAAGACUCAUGAUUCUGCUUCCAGCAUGGACACUGACUUGUACCAGCGCUCCAGCAAAAACUCACUCACACUCAGGUUGCCCCAGGUGUGUUCCCCAGUGGGCUGGGGGCCCAUCUGCCUCUGCCUGGGGUCUUUUUAUUUUAAUCUAAAACUGCAGAAGGAAAGUCUUAUCCAAAAGGCUGGGGAGUGGGGGCUGGAGGGCUGGAGGCCUUUCACCCGAUCCUCUCCCUCCUGGCCUCUCCGCUGCCCAGAUUUCCCCUCGGGUCCCUGACACCGCUUUCCAUCCCCUGCGUGUCGCUGUCAGAGCCUUGCAUCUCUCUCUGCAGACCAUCCCCUCUCCACCUGGCACUGCAGUUUUAAUGCACUUCCAAACAUGUAGUCCCCUUUGCUUUAACCCAAACUCCCUGUGACUUCCUGGGUAGGUGAGAAAGCUCCUGAGGGAAGAGGCUGCCCAGCCUGUCCCCUGCCCUCAAGUGAAAGCAGAGCGCGAAGGAAGCAAGCUG